UCGAGCGGAAACGAUGGAGCUUGCUCCAGGCGUCGAGCGGCGGACGGGUGAGUAAUGCAUAGGAAUCUGCCCGGUAGUGGGGGAUAACCUGGGGAAACCCAGGCUAAUACCGCAUACGUCCUACGGGAGAAAGCAGGGGAUCUUCGGACCUUGCGCUAUCGGAUGAGCCUAUGUCGGAUUAGCUUGUUGGUGAGGUAAUGGCUCACCAAGGCGACGAUCCGUAGCUGGUCUGAGAGGAUGAUCAGCCACAUCGGGACUGAGACACGGCCCGAACUCCUACGGGAGGCAGCAGUGGGGAAUAUUGGACAAUGGGCGAAAGCCUGAUCCAGCCAUGCCGCGUGUGUGAAGAAGGCUUUCGGGUUGUAAAGCACUUUCAGUGAGGAAGAAGGCCUUGGGGCUAAUACCCCCGAGGAAGGACAUCACUCACAGAAGAAGCACCGGCUAACUCCGUGCCAGCAGCCGCGGUAAUACGGAGGGUGCGAGCGUUAAUCGGAAUUACUGGGCGUAAAGCGCGCGUAGGCGGCGUGAUAAGCCGGUUGUGAAAGCCCCGGGCUCAACCUGGGAACGGCAUCCGGAACUGUCAGGCUAGAGUGCAGGAGAGGAAGGUAGAAUUCCCGGUGUAGCGGUGAAAUGCGUAGAGAUCGGGAGGAAUACCAGUGGCGAANGCGGCCUUCUGGACUGACACUGACACUGAGGUGCGAAAGCGUGGGUAGCAAACAGGAUUAGAUACCCUGGUAGUCCACGCCGUAAACGAUGUCGACUAGCCUUUGGGGUCCUAGAGACCUUUGUGGCGCAGUUAACGCGAUAAGUCGACCGCCUGGGGAGUACGGCCGCAAGGUUAAAACUCAAAUGAAUUGACGGGGGCCCGCACAACCCGUGGAGCAUGUGGUUUAAUUCUAUGCAACGCGAAGAACUUACCUACCCUUGACAUCGUGCGAACUUUCCA
rnacentral:rRNA from 1 species